UAAAUGACACAUCACUCACAUCAUAUU
rnacentral:sRNA from 1 species